UACGUAGGGUGCAAGCGUUAAUCGGAAUUACUGGGCGUAAAGCGUGCGCAGGCGGUUAUGUAAGACAGAUGUGAAAAUCCAGGGCUCAACCCUGGACCUGCAUUCGAUACGGGCAGACUAGAGUUCGGUAGGGGAGACUGGAAUUCCUGGUGUAGCGGUGAAAUGCGCAGAUAUCAGGAGGAACACCGGUGGCGAAGGCGGGUCUCUGGGCCGAAACUGACGCUGAGGAGCGAAAGCGUGGGGAGCAAACAGG
rnacentral:rRNA from 1 species